rnacentral:rRNA from 1 species
UCACUCGCCCAGAACAUGCCCCCCGAUCUCAUCAGAUCGCGGAAGCUAAGCAGAGUUGAGCCUGGAUAGAGCUUGGAUGGGAGAC